CAGCAGCCACGGUAAUACGUAGGUCCCGAGCGUUGUCCGGAUUUAUUGGGCGUAAAGCGAGCGCAGGCGGUUAGAUAAGUCUGAAGUUAAAGGCUGUGGCUUAACCAUAGUACGCUUUGGAAACUGUUUAACUUGAGUGCAAGAGGGGAGAGUGGAAUUCCAUGUGUAGCGGUGAAAUGCGUAGAUAUAUGGAGGAACACCGGUGGCGAAAGCGGCUCUCUGGUUUGUAACUGACGCUGAGGCUCGAAAGCGUGGGGAGCAAACAGGAUUAGAUACCCCCGUAGUCCCUGUCUCUUAUACA
rnacentral:rRNA from 1 species